rnacentral:rRNA from 1 species
CCCUUAGAUGUUCUGGGAUGCACGCGCGUUACACUGAUUCGUUCAACGAGUUUAUGACCCUGCCUGAUGAGGUGGGGGAAUCUUUUCAAAUCGCAUCGUGAUGGGGAUAGAGUAUUGUAACUGUUAGUCUUCAACGAGGAAUUCCUAGUAAGUACGUGUCAUCAGCUCGUACUGAUUAUGUCCCUGCCCUUUGUACACACCGCCCGUCGCUCCUACCGAUUGAGUGCUCAGGUGAAUAGUAUGGACUGCAUCAGUGUUCGGUCUCCGAAUGUUGACGCGAGAAAUUCUGUGAAUCUUAUUGCUUAGAGGAAGGAGAAGUCGUAACA